CCUACGGGUGGCAGCAGUGGGGAAUAUUGCACAAUGGGGGGAACCUUGAUGCAGCAACGCCGCGUGGGUGAAGAAGUACUCCGGUAUGUAAAGCCCUGUCAGCAGGGAAGAAAAUGACGGUACCUGACCAAGAAGCCCCGGCUAACUACGUGCCAGCAGCCGCGGUAAUACGUAGGGGGCAAGCGUUAUCCGGAUUUACUGGGUGUAAAGGGAGCGUAGACGGCAAGGCAAGUCUGGAGUGAAAGCCCGUGGCCCAACCACGGGACUGCUUUGGAAACUGUGUUGCUGGAGUGCAGGAGGGGUAAGCGGAAUUCCUAGUGUAGCGGUGAAAUGCUUAGAUAUCACGAAGAACUCCGAUUGCGAAGGCAGCCUACUAAACUGCCACUGACAUUGAUGCUCGAAAGUGUGGGUAUCAAACAGGAUUAGAUACCCCUGUAGUC
rnacentral:rRNA from 1 species